UGGGGAAUAUUGGACAAUGGGCGCAAGCCUGAUCCAGCCAUGCCGCGUGAGUGAUGAAGGUCUUCGGAUCGUAAAACUCUGUUAUUAGGGAAGAACAAAUGUGUAAGUAACUAUGCACGUCUUGACGGUACCUAAUCAGAAAGCCACGUCUAACUACGUGCCAGCAGCCGCGGUAAUACGUAGGUGGCAAGCGUUAUCCGGAAUUAUUGGGCGUAAAGCGCGCGUAGGCGGUUUUUUAAGUCUGAUGUGAAAGCCCACGGCUCAACCGUGGAGGGUCAUUGGAAACUGGAAAACUUGAGUGCAGAAGAGGAAAGUGGAAUUCCAUGUGUAGCGGUGAAAUGCGCAGAGAUAUGGAGGAACACCAGUGGCGAAGGCGACUUUCUGGUCUGUAACUGACGCUGAUGUGCGAAAGCGUGGGGAUCAAACAGG
rnacentral:rRNA from 1 species